UACGUAGGGGGCAAGCGUUGUCCGGAAUUAUUGGGCGUAAAGAGCUCGUAGGCGGCUUGUCACGUCGGGUGUGAAAGCCCGGGGCUUAACCCCGGGUCUGCAUUCGAUACGGGCUAGCUAGAGUGUGGUAGGGGAGAUCGGAAUUCCUGGUGUAGCGGUGAAAUGCGCAGAUAUCAGGAGGAACACCGGUGGCGAAGGCGGAUCUCUGAGCCAUUACUGACGCUGAGGAGCGAAAGCGUGGGGAGCGAACAGG
rnacentral:rRNA from 1 species